rnacentral:rRNA from 2 species
GGGUUGUGAGGUUAAGCGACUAAGCGUACACGGUGGAUGCCCUGGCAGUCAGAGGCGAUGAAGGGCGUGCUAAUCUGCGAUAAGCGCCGGUAAGGUGAUAUGAACCGUUAUAACCGGCGAUACCCGAAUGGGGAAACCCAGUGUGACUCGUCACACUAUCAUUAACUGAAUCCAUAGGUUAAUGAGGCGAACCGGGGGAACUGAAACAUCUAAGUACCCCGAGGAAAAGAAAUCAACCGAGAUUCCCCCAGUAGCGGCGAGCGAACGGGGAGGAGCCCAGAGCCUGAAUCAGCAUGUGUGUUAGUGGAAGCGUCUGGAAAGGCGCGCGAUACAGGGUGACAGCCCCGUACACAAAAGCGCAUGUGCUGUGAGCUCGAUGAGUAGGGCGGGACACGUGGUAUCCUGUCUGAAUAUGGGGGGACCAUCCUCCAAGGCUAAAUACUCCUGACUGACCGAUAGUGAACCAGUACCGUGAGGGAAAGGCGAAAAGAACCCCGGCGAGGGGAGUGAAAAAGAACCUGAAACCGUGUACGUACAAGCAGUGGGAGCACCCUUCGGGGUGUGACUGCGUACCUUUUGUAUAAUGGGUCAGCGACUUAUAUUCUGUAGCAAGGUUAACCGUAUAGGGGAGCCGGAGGGAAACCGAGUCUUAACCGGGCGUUAAGUUGCAGGGUAUAGACCCGAAACCCGGUGAUCUAGCCAUGGGCAGGUUGAAGGUUGGGUAACACUAACUGGAGGACCGAACCGACUAAUGUUGAAAAAUUAGCGGAUGACCUGUGGCUGGGGGUGAAAGGCCAAUCAAACCGGGAGAUAGCUGGUUCUCCCCGAAAGCUAUUUAGGUAGCGCCUCGUGAAUUCAUCUCCGGGGGUAGAGCACUGUUUCGGCUAGGGGGCCAUCCCGGCUUACCAACCCGAUGCAAACUGCGAAUACCGGAGAAUGUUAUCACGGGAGACACACGGCGGGUGCUAACGUCCGUCGUGAAGAGGGAAACAACCCAGACCGCCAGCUAAGGUCCCAAAGUCAUGGUUAAGUGGGAAACGAUGUGGGAAGGCCCAGACAGCCAGGAUGUUGGCUUAGAAGCAGCCAUCAUUUAAAGAAAGCGUAAUAGCUCACUGGUCGAGUCGGCCUGCGCGGAAGAUGUAACGGGGCUAAACCAUGCACCGAAGCUGCGGCAGCGAACGUAUCACCCAAGACAACUUUACGGAGUUGACGAUUGACGGAGCGAAGCGACGUCAAAGCGUUCAUUAAAGUCGAGUUGGCUUAGGGAUACGUUCGUUGGGUAGGGGAGCGUUCUGUAAGCCUGUGAAGGUGUGUCGUGAGGCAUGCUGGAGGUAUCAGAAGUGCGAAUGCUGACAUAAGUAACGAUAAAGCGGGUGAAAAGCCCGCUCGCCGGAAGACCAAGGGUUCCUGUCCAACGUUAAUCGGGGCAGGGUGAGUCGACCCCUAAGGCGAGGCCGAAAGGCGUAGUCGAUGGGAAACGGGUUAAUAUUCCCGUACUUGGUGUUACUGCGAAGGGGGGACGGAGAAGGCUAUGUUGGCCGGGCGACGGUUGUCCCGGUUUAAGCGUGUAGGUGUGUGUUCCAGGUAAAUCCGGUUCACUUUAACACUGAGGCGUGACGACGAGGCACUACGGUGCUGAAGCAACAAAUGCCCUGCUUCCAGGAAAAGCCUCUAAGCAUCAGGUAACACGAAAUCGUACCCCAAACCGACACAGGUGGUCAGGUAGAGAAUACCAAGGCGCUUGAGAGAACUCGGGUGAAGGAACUAGGCAAAAUGGUGCCGUAACUUCGGGAGAAGGCACGCUGACACGUAGGUGAAGUGAUUUACUCAUGGAGCUGAAGUCAGUCGAAGAUACCAGCUGGCUGCAACUGUUUAUUAAAAACACAGCACUGUGCAAACACGAAAGUGGACGUAUACGGUGUGACGCCUGCCCGGUGCCGGAAGGUUAAUUGAUGGGGUCAGCGUAAGCGAAGCUCCUGAUCGAAGCCCCGGUAAACGGCGGCCGUAACUAUAACGGUCCUAAGGUAGCGAAAUUCCUUGUCGGGUAAGUUCCGACCUGCACGAAUGGCGUAAUGAUGGCCAGGCUGUCUCCACCCGAGACUCAGUGAAAUUGAACUCGCUGUGAAGAUGCAGUGUACCCGCGGCAAGACGGAAAGACCCCGUGAACCUUUACUAUAGCUUGACACUGAACAUUGAGCCUUGAUGUGUAGGAUAGGUGGGAGGCUUUGAAGUGUGGACGCCAGUCUGCAUGGAGCCGACCUUGAAAUACCACCCUUUAAUGUUUGAUGUUCUAACGUGGACCCGUAAUCCGGGUUGCGGACAGUGUCUGGUGGGUAGUUUGACUGGGGCGGUCUCCUCCUAAAGAGUAACGGAGGAGCACGAAGGUUGGCUAAUCCUGGUCGGACAUCAGGAGGUUAGUGCAAUGGCAUAAGCCAGCUUGACUGCGAGCGUGACGGCGCGAGCAGGUGCGAAAGCAGGUCAUAGUGAUCCGGUGGUUCUGAAUGGAAGGGCCAUCGCUCAACGGAUAAAAGGUACUCCGGGGAUAACAGGCUGAUACCGCCCAAGAGUUCAUAUCGACGGCGGUGUUUGGCACCUCGAUGUCGGCUCAUCACAUCCUGGGGCUGAAGUAGGUCCCAAGGGUAUGGCUGUUCGCCAUUUAAAGUGGUACGCGAGCUGGGUUUAGAACGUCGUGAGACAGUUCGGUCCCUAUCUGCCGUGGGCGCUGGAGAACUGAGGGGGGCUGCUCCUAGUACGAGAGGACCGGAGUGGACGCAUCACUGGUGUUCGGGUUGUCAUGCCAAUGGCACUGCCCGGUAGCUAAAUGCGGAAGAGAUAAGUGCUGAAAGCAUCUAAGCACGAAACUUGCCCCGAGAUGAGUUCUCCCUGAGACUUAGAGUCUCCUGAAGGAACGUUGAAGACGACGACGUUGAUAGGCCGGGUGUGUAAGCGCAGCGAUGCGUUGAGCUAACCGGUACUAAUGAACCGUGAGGCUUAACCUUACAACGCCGAAG